GUUGUUAUGUAUAACUACUUCAGAUGGUUCCCUGAUGGACGGCCAACCCUUUAUUAAAAGUUUGUUAUUAGUUACUGUAGAAAGCAAUGCAAGAAUCUCCGGCUGUUUUUCAUCUGAAUGUAUGAGUUAAGGUAGCUAGCAUUUUACAUACCAUGAUCUGAUUGAAGUAGACUAGUAGAUAUGACAACUGUACGUAAUCAAGCAUACUAACAAGGACUAAAUUACUGAAAGGGCUACCUAAUUAUACAUUCUAAUGUAGCUAUUAAUAUAACACAAUCAGUAUUGAUUUAAAACUGUAAGUUCUUUGAACUCUGCUCUGUGUUUCUAGCACAAUAAUUGUAUUCUCUUGUUUUUCCAUCAACAGGACGGCCAACCCUUUAUUAAAAGUUUGUUAUCAGUUACUGUAGAAAGCAAUGCAAGAAUCUCCGGCUGUUUUUCAUCUGAAUGUACGAGUUAAGGUAGCUAGCAUUUUACAUACCAUGAUCUGAUUGAAGUAGACUAGUAGAUAUGACAACUGUACGUAAUCAAGCAUACUAACCUUCAUAGAACAGUCAAACUGUAAAGGAGACAGAUUGCAAUCACUUGAUACGACCUCAAUAACUCUCUCUUUUCCC
rnacentral:lncRNA from 1 species